rnacentral:rRNA from 1 species
CAGUAAUUAAUAUAUUUAUAAAAAUAUAUUUUUUUUUU